rnacentral:rRNA from 1 species
AGCCUCCUCUAGCCCGAUUACUAUAUCAUUCCAGAAGAAGAACAAACCCACUUAAAACUCAAACCAAAACAUUCUUCCGUCUAAGUAUAGGCGAUAGAAAAGACACCAGGAGCAAUAGACUUGUAGUACCGCAAGGGAAAGCUGAAAUAAUAAUGAAAACUUAAGCAAUAAACAGCAAAGACGAACCCUUGUACCUUUUGCAUCAUGAUUUAGCAAGAAAAAUCAAGCAAAACGAACUUUAAGCUUGCCACCCCGAAACCCAAGCGAGCUACUCUCAAGCAGCUAUCUUUGAGCAAACCCGUCUCUGUAGCAAAAGAGUGGGAAGACUUGUUAGUAGAGGUGAAAAGCCAACCGAGCUGGGUGAUAGCUGGUUGCCCGUGAAAUGAAUAUUAGUUCUCCCUUAAUUUUACCCCCAAGACUCAAUUACUUGCUCGUAGCAAAUUAAGAGUAAUUUAAAGGAGGUACAGCUCCUUUAAAACAGAACACAAUCUCCUCCAGAGGAUAAGCCAAAGUACUCCCAAACUUGUAGGCCUUUAAGCAGCCACCAACAAAGAAUGCGUCAAAGCUCCUCAUACUAAAAAUAUAAGACUCUACGCGACUCCCUCACCCAUAACGGGCUAACCUAUCAAAUAUAGGAGCAUUAAUGCUAAAAUAAGUAACUAAGGACCCUCCUUCUAAAGCACAAACUUACAUCUUCAUAUUAUUAACAGGCCCACUAAUAGCCCAACCACUACAAGACUGACUAUCUAAUACCCUGUUAGACCAACCCAGGAGUGCUCAACUAGAAAGAUUAAAACCUGUAAAAGGAACUAGGCAAACCCAAGGCCCGACUGUUUACCAAAAACAUAGCCUUCAGCAAAACAGCCAAGUAUUGAAGGUGAUGCCUGCCCAGUGACACUAAGUUUAACGGCCGCGGUAUCCUAACCGUGCAAAGGUAGCGCAAUCAAUUGUCCCAUAAAUCGAGACUUGUAUGAACGGCCAAACGAGGUCUUAACUGUCUCUUGCAGGUAAUCAGUGAAAUUGAUCUCCCCGUGCAAAAGCAGGGAUAAACCCAUAAGACGAGAAGACCCUGUGGAACUUAAAAACCAACAGCCACUCUACGAACUCAAAACCCCAUAGGGCCCACUACCAAUAGACGAUUGGCUCGCAUUUUUCGGUUGGGGCGACCUUGGAGAAAAACGUAUCCUCCAAAAAUAAGACCAUCCAUCCUAACCAAGAUCAACCACUCAAAGUGCUAACAGUAACCAGACCCAGUAUAACUGAUUAAUGAACCAAGCUACCCCAGGGAUAACAGCGCAAUCCCCUUCAAGAGCUCAUAUCGACAAGGGGGUUUACGACCUCGAUGUUGGAUCAGGACAUCCUAAUGGUGCAGCCGCUAUUAAGGGUUCGUUUGUUCAACGAUUAACUAGUCCUACGUGAUCUGAGUUCAGACCGGAGUAAUCCAGGUCGGUUUCUAUCUAUGAUUAAACCUUUCCCAGUACGAAAGGACCGGAAAAGUAAGGCCAAUACCUCAAGCAUGCCUUCCCUAAAAGUAAUGAAUUCAUCUAAAUUACCAAAAGGACAAACCCCUAAUCCUAAACAAGGAUG